rnacentral:rRNA from 1 species
AGUGAACGGGGAGGAGCCCAGCGCCGAAUCCUGCGCCCCAGCGGCGUUGGGAAAUGUGGCGUUCGGGAGGGUCUUUCUUCCGGCUCGGGCGGUCUAAGUCCCCCUUGAACGGGGCCAUGGCCCGCAGAGGGUGUUAGGCCCGUGUGCGCCGCGCCGUUGCCGGAGGAUGACCUCUCUCUAGAGUCGGGUUGCUUGAGAGUGCAGCCCUAAGCAGGUGGUAAACUCCAUCUAAGGCUAAAUAUGACCACGAGACCGAUAGCGAACAAGUACAGUGAUGGAAAGUUGAAAAGAACUUUGAAGAGAGAGUUCAAAAGUACGUGAAACCGCCAGGGGGAAAACGGGUGGGCCCUCGAAGGUCGAACGGGGGGGGAUUCAACCUGACGGAGCGUCGGCCCUCCGGUGUCCGCGAUCCUUGAGUGGACGCGGCCCGGUGUGGCUCGGCGAGCCGGCUGGUGCACUUCUCCCCUCUAGUAGGACGCCGCGACCGGUUGUGAGGUCGCCUGUGGUCCGGGUCACUCUUGUCCCCGUUCUCGCGGGCCCGCUUGCGGGCCGGAGGAUGGGAAGCCCGGCUGCUGGCUGACCGCCCGACCGUUUCCGCAAAGCCAAGGAGCGCCCGCGUCCAGACGCGCCGGCGUUGUCGCCCCGGCGGCGGUGCUCGGCUCGGCGGCGAGUAGGUCGGUGACCCACCCGACCCGUCUUGAAACACGGACCAAGGAGUCUAACAUGUGAGCGAGCGACGGGGCGAACUAGACCCUGACGCGCAAUGAAAGUGAAGGCCCGGGUUGUGCCGGGCCGAGGGGAGAUCCCGCAGCCCUCGCGGCGGCGGGCGCAUCCCCGGGGCGUGUCGACCGCCACGUCGGUGAUGCGCACCCAGAGCUUACACGUUGGGACCCGAAAGAUGGUGAACUAUGCCUGGCCAGGGCGAAGCCAGAGGAAACUCUGGUGGAGGUCCGUAGCGAUUCUGACGUGCAAAUCGAUCGUCUGAGCUGGGUAUAGGGGCGAAAGAUAAUCGAACCAUCUAGUAGCUGGAUUCCUUCCGAAGUUUCCCUCAGGAUAGCUGGUGCUCGCACGAACGGAGUUUCAUCCGGUAAAGCGAAUGAUUAGAGGCCUUGGGGCCGAAACGACCUCAACCUAUUCUCAAACUUUAAAUGGGUGAGACGUCGGGCUUGCUUGACUGAAGCCCCGACCGUCGAAUCCGAGUACCUAGUGGGCCAUUUUUGGUAAGCAGAACUGGCGCUGUGGGAUGAACCAAACGCCGAGUUAAGGUGCCGGAGCGAACGCUCAUCAGAUCCCAUGAAAGGCGUUGGUUGCUAUAGACAGCAGGACGGUGGCCAUGGAAGUCGGAAUCCGCUAAGGAGUGUGUAACAACUCACCUGCCGAAGCAACUAGCCCUGAAAAUGGAUGGCGCUCAAGCGUUCCACCUAUACUCGGCCGUCGGGGCAGGACUCGGUGCUCGCGCCGUCGAGGCCCCGACGAGUAGGACGGCGUGGCGGUGAGCGUAGAAGGAUCUGGGCGCGAGCCCGUCUGGAGCCGCCGUCGGUGCAGAUCUUGGUGGUAGUAGCAAAUACUCAGGAGGGAUCCUUGAGGACUGAGGUGGAGAAGGGUUCCAUGUGAACAGCCUUUGGACAUGGUUGAGUCGAUCCUAAGCCUUGGGGUAGUUCCCCCGUCCUCGGCGUUG